GGGGAUACAGCUCAUUUGGUAGAGUACUUGCCUCACAUGCACAAGGCCCUGGGUUCAAUCCCCAGCACCACCA
rfam:Ictidomys tridecemlineatus contig060942, whole genome shotgun sequence.